CAGCUCUCCUGAACUCCUUUUUCCCUAAGAUUUUCUUCCCAUGGGACCUUACCUACCAGUUCUCGGAGUUUAACAUCUGCUUUUCUGAAGUCCAGGGUCCGUAUUCUGCUGCUCUCCUUCCUUCCUUUUGUCAGGAUCCUGAACUUGACCAUCUCAUGGUCACUGCCUCCCAGGUUCCCAUCCACUUUUACUUCCCCUACUAAUUCUUCCCAGUUUGUGAGCAGCAGGUCAGGAAGACCUCUGCCCCUAGUUGCACUAGCACUAGGAAAUUGUCCCCUACACUUUCCAAAAACUUCCUGGAUUGUCUGUGCACCACUGUAUUGCUCUCCCGGCAGAUA